AUUGAACGCUGGCGGCAGGCCUAACACAUGCAAGUAGAGCGGAGCGGCGGACGGGUGAGUAAUGCCUAGGAAUAUGCCUGGUAGUGGGGGAUAACGUCCGGACACGGGCGCUAAUACCGCAUACUAUCAGAUGAGCCUAGGUCGGAUUAGCCAGUUGGUGGGGUAAAGGCCUACCAAGGCGACGAUCCGUAACUGGUCUGAGAGGAUGAUCAGUCACACUGGAACCGGGAGACGGUCCAGAAUCCUACGAGAGGCAGCAGUGGGGAAUAUUGGACAAUGGGCGAAAGCCUGAUCCAGCCAUGCCGCGUGUGUGAAGAAGGUCUUCGGAUUGUAAAGCACUUUAAGUUGGGAGGCGUUACCAACAGAAUAAGCACCGGCUAACUUCGUGCCAGCAGCCGCGGGAAUUC
rnacentral:rRNA from 1 species